AUUGAACGCUGGCGGCAUGCCUUACACAUGCAAGUCGAACGGUAACAGGUCUUCGGAUGCUGACGAGUGGCGAACGGGUGAGUAAUACAUCGGAACGUGCCUAGUAGUGGGGGAUAACUACUCGAAAGAGUGGCUAAUACCGCAUGAGAUCUACGGAUGAAAGCAGGGGAUCGCAAGGCCUUGUGCUACUAGAGCGGCCGAUGGCAGAUUAGGUAGUUGGUGGGAUAAAAGCUUACCAAGCCGACGAUCUGUAGCUGGUCUGAGAGGACGAUCAGGCACACUGGGACUGAGACACGGCCCAGACUCCUACGGGAGGCAGCAGUGGGGAAUUUUGGACAAUGGGCGCAAGCCUGAUCCAGCAAUGCCGCGUGCAGGAUGAAGGCCUUCGGGUUGUAAACUGCUUUUGUACGGAACGAAAAGCCCUGGGUUAAUACCCUGGGGUCAUGACGGUACCGUAAGAAUAAGCACCGGCUAACUACGUGCCAGCAGCCGCCGUAAUAC
rnacentral:rRNA from 1 species